UCUUAUAAAUGAGCAAAGAAAGGGGUUUCCUGAGAUGGAAUCUACUCUUGUUGCAGAAGCUGUGAA
rnacentral:pre_miRNA from 1 species